rnacentral:misc_RNA from 1 species
AACGCACCUUGCACCCUUUGGUAUUCCGAAGGGUACACCCGUUUGAGUGUCAUUGUAAUCUCACUGUGUUCGACUUUUUGUCGUUCGUAUGUGGACCUGGAUGUUGCCGUUGGUUUUCAACGGCUCGUCUGAAAUGCCUGAGUGUACCCCGCUUUGCGGCGUAUUCGGUGUGAUAUAUUGUCACCGGAGUUGAUCCUUUUGGGUCGCGUCUGUAGGAGUGUGGCUCUAUGCUUUCCAACUGUCCCUUCACUGGGACAAUCUUCUUGACAAUUUGACCUCAAAUCGGGUGGGACUACCCGCUGAACUUAA